UUUAAUUUGUAUAUCUAACAUUGUAAUUAUUAUACGAUUCACGAUAUUAUUUAAUAAUGUCGUACAUUACAUAUUACUUGUUUCGAUAUAGGCUACUUUUCCUAAUCAUUAAUGUUCCGUUUAUUGCUCUAUAUAAUCCGGAAAAAUAAUUCUUUAAUAGAAUGGAGAUAUAAUUCUUCCAACAACGGGUAUUAGCAAUAAUACGCCAGCGACCAACGGCCGAUUAAUAGGAUUUUCAUUGUCAGAGAUCACCGACCGCGUGUUCGUUAAUUGGAUCUUCUGGCUCAAAUGUUGGAAGAUACACCCUUUCUACCAAGUAAGCCAAUAUACCAUCAGCUAGCUCUAUACAGUGAUUCUAAACCGUAAAACACGAAACAGCGUGAGCGAAUCAUACGAUGAAAGUUAGAAUUACUUGUACUAUAUUCGCAAAUUUUUACUCGACGAUGUUUGGUUACUUUCACGAUUUUUGCCUCGUUAUAUUUACGUUUGUUCCGUAUGUUUCUUGACCUUUGCUCGAUAGAGGCUCGAUCGUUGUUGUCAAGAGUAUCGAAUUAAAAGGAAAAUCGGACGAUAAAGCGAUAUGAGAAUACGACACAAUAUACGCGAAGCGUUAUACGUCUGGUAUAACAUAUACAGACACGAGAAGCAAUAUGAAUGAAAACCAACGACAGGACACAUGCAAAUUAAGAUGUGAAGGAACACGUGGCGGCAUGCUCCAUUUCCAGAUCGUCAUCGGCAUAAUCUACAACGAGACCGGCUCGAGAGGACAUUCUAAUUUUACGUAACGACAUCGUACCAAUAUCUUUUUUCCAUUUCGCAACAACAAUCCUCAUUUACAGACAGCGAUCCGUUGCAAAAUCCGUCGCGACGGAUCUGGCUAUAAACAUGGCUGCUUCAACGAGCAAGGAAACGAGAUUGAAACAAGAAAUACUGGUUGCCGUUUAAAUUGCAUCGCGAAUUGAUAACACUUAACGAAUAACGUCGCUUGUUGUACAAUAGCGACUGACGGUGUCCUUGUUCGAAUAAAUCGAAUCCCAGUCAUUUUUCAAUGUCUUUCUACUUCGUUAUUAUUAUUGUUAUUAUUAUUAUUAUUCGUAGCGUCAUUAUUAUUCUUAGAAAUGAAAUUAAUCGGCAAUUGCGAAGAUUCCCGUAAAAUUCGGAACAAAUAAUCCUUCAUAAAGAAGAUAACCCAGAAUAAAGAUCCAAAUUAAUUAAAUCAUCACGGGAACUGAACUUCUCUUUUGCAUCAGCGUUUAGCUUUGUAAAUCUACUAUAACGUUAUGCGUUUGAAAUAAAAAAAAAACUAUAACAUAGAAUAAGGAAAUAAUGUCAAUUAAUCUGCAGUUGUAAUUUGUUUAACAAUGUAUGAUAUACGAUGCAUUACAAAAUAUUCUCUAGUGGUGAUUCUAGUUGCUUCAAUAAAAAAAAGAAUUGUGGAGAAUCGGUAGCCUUCAACAGGUGUUGUUUAGAGCGGAAUGGAUUCGCGUUCACUCGAACGAGUCAUCGAGGAGUAGUGUGUAUGUGCGAUUGUUCAGAGGCUCGGCAAAUGACAGCGCGAAGAUCGCCGUCUUGCUCGAGGAAGCACGGCUGAACAUGAUUAGAUAAUCGGCAGGCUGACGCGAUCAAUUAGUGUGCAGACAUAAACGUGGCACAAUUUCUGGCAUCGAUCGUGACGUCAAGGAACUCGACACCCGCUGUAAUACCCACGACAAAGACAAAAACACGUAAGAACUAACAGCUGGUUACCUGUACAGGUGUAAACGAUACGAAGGACGAUAAUAAAGUUAAUAUUUCUGAUUAAACGAUUAAAUGAGUAAUUUUCUAAUUAUAUUGAAAUAUCCCGCAACUCAUAUAAAUUUAUUGGGAACAACAGAUUCAUUGAUUAUCCUUAUUUUUUAUAAUUUCUCAAUCAAGUAAUAGGUUGUCACGUGUAAAUAAGUGAAUUUAAUCAGUCAUUUAACCUUCACGCUAUGUAAUCAAUUUUUUCAACUGCUGUUGAAAAAUAUCGAUCAAUAAAAAAAUUCUUCACUCUUUACUUGUCCUCUCUCAAAAGGUAUACUAAUCAACUGUGUAAAUUGAAAGAGAGGAAAAAGCGACAAUGUUAUACAUAUCAUAUUUAAAAAAUGAGAGCCUUGUAUAUCAAUUUUUUAUCUUCAUUUGUCAAGCUUUAUAACGAAGGAGAACUUUAAAUGGUAUAGAUUAAGGUCAAAGUCUGCAGUGAACAAGUUUACAAUGGCAUUCAACUACGUUGUCUAACAAUAGAAAAAGGUAAUAAAACAGACAGUAGCUGCAAAAAAGUGUAAAACAAUGUUCUUCGUGUCAUUAAAUAUUUAUGAACGUUCUACGACUUCACACAGAGCAAAACAGCAAUAAAUUACAGUAGUCUGCUAGGAAAAACUAGUAUUACAUAUCACAACACAAAACGUAGUAAACAUACGAAGUCUGCAAAGGUUUAUGUCAAUUUGCACUAAACUGAUCGUUCAAGUACAUACCAUUUUUCUCCAUAAUCGUACAUUAUAGUUGAAUACAAAUCUCUAACAAAUAUCAUGCAUAGUGAUGAAACUGUGAACAGGGAAAUACUCGUAAAUUCAAUUACGUUUAUUAUGAAAAUUUGCAUUUUCUUUUUAUAAUAUAGGAUCUAAAAAUAUCCUUGUAUUUUAAAACGUUAUAGCAUAACAGCUUUCAGAUUCGUUUUUGAGUAAUAAUUGCAAACCAAAUUAAAUGAAAUUUAGUAUAUUUGCGUGCUCGCUACUAUGAAUGAAACUCAGAUAAAUGUAACUCUACUAUACUACUGCAUUGUCAUUCCUUGGUUAGGUUGUUACUUGAAAAAUCUUUAGAGCGUUGUUCUUCGAACGAAACACGACGAGUAUUACGUGGCAGUUCCCGCAGCCAUUAUCCUGUAUGCGACGAUUAAUCUCAUAAUCCGAUCGUUACGAGCGAUUAAAGCGAUUAUACCGGUGCGUAAUAUGCAUGAGACGAGACGCGUAUGCUGUGUUUACUCGCAACGAUACGAUUUUCAGAGUAGCCCCAUAUUUUUACCCACCCAAAUUGCAUAACGCCCAUGUUGUUGUUACUCGAAUAUCAAACGUUUAUAUUAAUUGAAGUCUCUUCUGUUUGUCUGUUCAGCGUUUCGCACCCGCGAUUCGCGAUAUAAAUAUCGUAUUUAUAGCGUGAGUGGUGCAUGGAUACUUGGAAUAGACAAACUCUAUUAAUAACGAGCCACAAGAUAAAAUAUUUCCGAGUAAUAUUAUUCGAGUGAUGCUUCGUACAAAAUGCUUAAUCGGUGAUUACUAAUAAGUUGUUGUGACAAAUUGGUGAAAAAAAACCGCGUCAAACGGUCAAACGAUUGCAUAAUAACUGACCUGAACGAUACUAUACAAUAAAAUUGUUGCAAAGACAAUAGUGACACAAUCGUGAAACGAGCUGGCCACUUGCCACGAUAUUAUGAAUUCAUUUUUUACAUUAAUUUUGGUAUUCUUUUGUUACGAUAUGCCAUAAACAAAGACCACCAUGGGAAUGAUACGAUAAGUCCAUUUUUAUUGAAUUUGUUGAUUUUGUUGAUAGCAAGGUAUUUGAGUAAAUCACACAUAUUUAAUUCCAAAAUCAAAGAAAAAGGUAGGUUCGAUGUGCGAUUGUUUCGCUAUUUAUUAAAUUUUAAAGUUGUUUUUCUAAAGGGCGUGAAAUGCAAUUUAUUAGAUUUUUCAUCUGUGGUGAUCAAAUUUAACACUGUUGUUUCCUUGUAAAUUUGAAAAUAAAAUAUUAAGUCGUUCGAAAAGUCAAAGAUCAAUAUAAAUAUACAGGGUGGUUGAUAACUGGUGGUACAAGCGGAAAGCGGGUGAUUCUACGCGAAAAAAGAAGUCGAAAAUAUAGAAUAGAAAUUUUUUUUAAUUUUUCCAUCGAGACAACGAUCUACAGUGAGAUCCGUUAUAACGAGACGUGAUAAAGUGCACACGUACCGAACGAAGAUUCAAAGUCGAUUUUCUCGAAAACAAAGCCUCAAACGAAAAAUUGUUAUUCUAUAUUUUCGACUUCUUUUUUCGCGUAGAAUCACCUCCUUUCCGCUUGUACCACCAGUUACCAACCAUCCUAUAUAUAUAUAGAUAAGAUAAAGAUUACAACGUUCGACAGAUCAGGUUUCAUGUUUGUAUAAAGAUGCAUUGUUGUAAAAGAAGUGUCUGUAAAAGAAAGACACUUUUCUAACAACCUAAUAUGUAUCGCCAUUUGAAUCUUCUAAAGAGAAUCUCUAUUUUCUGUUAUUCGCUGUAAUUGCGAUCGUAUAACAAGACGCAAAGAAAAAUCACGAUCGGAUAUCCUCGUAUGCAAAUGAAAAAAUAUUAACACAAUGCGCAACAGUGCAGCUAUUGAAACAGAUACUGACUUUGUAGAUACAACGAAGUCCAACGUACAUCGGACGCCGAAGCGUGUUUGUCUGUUUCUGUCGACAUGUUUGAGACUUUGUCGAUAAUCGUAAAUAAUUGUUUUCAGAUAGGACGUUAUUUGCGGCGUAACUUUGACUUGGUGAAACCACAGUUCUUCCUAUUAUUGCUACCAUUUCUUUGAAGCGAAAAACGUGUACAGAAGAGCUACGUAAAAAACAAGCCGUUUGUCGUUUCCGUAGGUCGUAAAAAGAAUUUACAAGAAUCUUUUUAAGUUCUCUAGAAAGGCAAGAUCUAUUAUAACAAUCAUUUAGAGAGAUAAAAACAGAAUUUUUGCAUUUUUUCUUUCACCUUUACACUCUCUUAUACUCUGCAAGUAAACUAAAUCCUUCAUGUGCAACUUUUAUUUUAUUUAUCUGCUGUGUUAGAUUUAAGAAAUUACAAAAAUAAUCUGGGCUGUUCAUUAAUACAUCUACUACAAUAUACAAUUACGAUAAAAGUAAAAGUUCGAAAAGGAAAGAAAUUCAAGAGCAAUGUAAAAUUGAUAAUCAGAAUACGAAAUGGCAAAGUUGUAUGAAAAAUAAGAGAUGUCAGACGUACAUAAGAUUUCCGUAUUUCCAUCCGAAACCAACUCGAUCUCGUGACAAUGAAACGUGUGCACACGCGCCCACGACUUCGCAUGCAAAUGCUGUGUAAAAGUCGCGUGCACUCGUGUAAAAGCGUGACGCAAGCGUAAAGCACACGUGAACGUAAUGAUGUCGAAUGAAAUUGGCAUAUACAUAUACUGUCUUGUAACGAAAGCAACAGAUUUGAAUAUAAAAGACUUCGUACUUCUAAUGAUUUCUUGCGACAUAUGCGGAUUACGCGUUCUCCUUUUGGAAUAGAGAUUAGCCGUAAAUCAUUAACAAGAGCCGGUAAAUAGCUUAGGAUUAUUUGUAUAAGAAAAAGAUUUUAACUGACGAUAUUUACAAAAUAAUAGUCUUGUAAAUAUAUUAGUUGCUUAUGAUAUUUGUUCAAUAAACUCCUGGUAAUUCAAUUCGUUUAAGAAAAUAAGAUGAUUCACGUUUCUAUUUUAAACUGUUUUAUCUAAAUUGAUGGUAAUUAAAGAUGGAACGUAAUAGUUAGUUAGCAAUGUUUUACAACGAACUUUAUAGUUUUCGAAGCAAAUACGAUAAAACGUUUCUGGACAGAUAGAGAGUGUACACUUAGAGUGUAAGCUUUUUGGCCAGGAUAAGAUCGACCCCGCCCUACUGUUUGAAGGUCGGGCAAAUAUUGGAGAAAAGGAAGGAACCUUCAGGACCCUCCAAUCGUACGAAGGAAACGGAAAAUUGAUCGAUAUAACCUCGAUAUCGAGUAUCAACUUCAACCUACAACAAUGAUAGUUGAAGAUUCAAUCCGAUAAAGGAGAGGAGCCGAUUAUAACGUUAUAAUAUGAGCUCAACUUUAUUAAAGUAGAGCUGAAUACAUGUGCGAUAACAAUCGUAAUAAUAAUCGCCGAUCCAAAAAUUCAAUUGAAUAAAAGCUUUUAAAUUUUGUAAAUUGUAUUUUCUUAAAAAUCAACAUAUACUCGACAACUAUUAAUUUUCCAAUCCAAUUCGCCAAUCCUAUAUUCAAUCUAAAAGAAAAAGAAACCAAUUAUAAGCUCGAUUCUCCACAACUUCCAUUCUACGAAACCAGGGAGCCCAAAUUAACCAACACCAUCCUAUUAAUCAAGAAUCCUCAGAGGAAUGGUCAAACGCAGAAACGAAACCCGAAAGAAACCAUCGCGGAAGCGUCGAAUCUAAAACGGAAGGGGUGGUGGAUGCACGCGGGGUAGGAAAAGCACGUUCCCGAUCCGUAACGAAGCCAUAGAUCCAAAAGGGGUUGCGAUGACGCCAGCACGAUCACAGGGACGCGCGAGAUUUCGCGCGUGAGUGUGCUCGAAGAGGAACGAUCGGCAGUCUCGUUCGGCUCGUUGAACAUAAAUCUCGUCUCCCAGUGGACGAUGACCCGUCGCGCUUAUUUAUCAUCGCUUUUCUCUCUGUUACGGCUUAACAUUAAUGACAACCCGAUAUAGUUUCCAACGCAACUUUCACUAAUGGCCGGCUGUUUCCAUCGACAAUUAACAAAAUAUCAUUUUUUCUAUAUUCCUAAAGAAACUCGAUGAUCUUGGAUAUAUAAAAAAGAACGCUGUCAUCCAACCACACUUCCGAUCCCACUAACUGCAAACUCAAAGAGCAUUUCGAUGAUUCUUCUUCAUUUUACCAGGCUGAUAUCUAUGCAGGAAAUACAUUCGAUGAGAAACGAGAACUCGUUUAAUUAAUUGCAGAUUCAAAGUACAUUUUGACGAUUCUUCGAUGAUUUGACGAAGCGACGAAGCAAUAAUAUUCGAGCUGAGACAAGUGGAAAAAUAAUAGAUCGAAAUAUAUGUGCAUUUUAGUAUAUUAGCUCUGUAACAUAAUACGAUAUUCCAUGGCUAAAAUAAAGCCAGACAGACUAAUUAUCAUGGAUACUAAUUUAAUAACUGUACAAUAAUAGGUAGACUGUAAAUGUUUAUGGAAAACAUAAAGGUGCAAAAUUGUACGCAACAAGCGAGGAUAUAGAAAAUAUGCAAAGUAGAAUAAGCUUAAAAUAAAGUGCAGUAUGUAAAAUAAACUUGUUACAAUAUGUAUAAUGUAUAUACUUGUCCUUGUUUUAAUUCCAAGAUCUCGUAACCUUCUGAUUUGUCUCUCCUAACUUUUUUUAUCAACUCAUCUGAUCUUUAUUGAUUUUUAACACGGUGAUUACAAAACGGUCCAAUUAACAAGUUAAUUUGAUUUUCGUUACGUAUAUAAAAUCACCGAUUCAUCAAGCCAUUUUCGAACCGUAAUUCGCUUUAGUUCCAUUUAACUUGGAAAACAUCGAUUCUUCUAUUAUUCUAUACGCACGAUAUACGGGUACAUACCUGAUCUAUCGUCAUCUAAAGGUAACAUCUCGCCAGUCU